UACGGAGGGUGCAAGCGUUAUCCGGAUUCACUGGGUUUAAAGGGUGUGUAGGCGGGCUGUUAAGUCAGUGGUGAAAUCUCCGGGCUCAACCCGGAAACUGCCAUUGAUACUAAUGGUCUUGAAUUUUGUUGAGGUAGGCGGAAUAUGUUAUGUAGCGGUGAAAUGCUUAGAUAUGACAUAGAACACCGAUUGCGAAGGCAGCUUACUAAGCAAAUAUUGACGCUGAGGCACGAAAGCGUGGGGAUCAAACAGG
rnacentral:rRNA from 1 species